ACGUCAGCGGCAGACGGGUGAGUAACGCGUGGGAACAUACCUCUUGGUUCGGAACAACACAGGGAAACUUGUGCUAAUACCGGAUAAGCCCUUACGGGGAAAGAUUUAUCGCCGAGAGAUUGGCCCGCGUCUGAUUAGCUAGUUGGUAGGGUAAUGGCCUACCAAGGCGACGAUCAGUAGCUGGUCUGAGAGGAUGAUCAGCCACAUUGGGACUGAGACACGGCCCAAACUCCUACGGGAGGCAGCAGUGGGGAAUAUUGGACAAUGGGGGCAACCCUGAUCCAGCCAUGCCGCGUGAGUGAUGAAGGCCCUAGGGUUGUAAAGCUCUUUUGUGCGGGAAGAUAAUGACGGUACCGCAAGAAUAAGCCCCGGCUAACUUCGUGCCAGCAGCCGCGGUAAUACGAAGGGGGCUAGCGUUGCUCGGAAUCACUGGGCGUAAAGGGUGCGUAGGCGGGUUUUUAAGUCAGGGGUGAAAUCCUGGAGCUCAACUCCAGAACUGCCUUUGAUACUGAAGAUCUUGAGUCCGGGAGAGGUGAGUGGAACUGCGAGUGUANAGGUGAAAUUCGUAGAUAUUCGCAAGAACACCAGUGGCGAAGGCGGCUCACUGGCCCGGUACUGACGCUGAGGCACGAAAGCGUGGGGAGCAACAGGAUU
rnacentral:rRNA from 1 species